rnacentral:rRNA from 1 species
UAAGACAGAGGUGGCGAGCGUUGUUCGGAUUUAUUGGGCGUAAAGCGAACGCAGGUGGUUUGGUAAGUCAGAGGUGAAAGUCCACAGCUUAACUGUGGCACUGCCUUUGAUACUGCCUUUCUAGAGUGCAUGAGGGGGAAGCGGAAUUCCGAGUGUAGAGGUGAAAUUCGUAGAUAUUCGGAGGAACACCGGUGGCGAAGGCGGCUUCCUGGCAUGUAACUGACACUCAUGUUCGAAAGCGUGGGUAGCAAACAGGAUUAGAUACCCUGGUAGUCCACGCCCUAAACGAUGGGCACUAGGUGUGGGAGGUAUCGACCCCUUCCGUGCCGCAGCUAACGCAUUAAGUGCCCCGCCUGGGGAGUACGGCCGCAAGGUUGAAACUUAAAUGAAUUGACGG